rnacentral:tRNA from 1 species
GGAGGAGUCGCAUAGCGGCCUAUUGCAACGGCUUGGAAAGCCGUGACCCGCAAGGGUCUCGUGGGUUCAAAUCCCACCUCCUCCG